rnacentral:tRNA from 1 species
GGAAAAGUGCCUGAAUUAAAGGGCCACUUUGAUAGAGUGGACAAUGAAUGUUAAAGCCAUUCCUCUUCCUU